AAACUAAUCACAAACCAAAACCAGAAAACAAAUAUCGGAGACAUGUCAUACAAAUAUUUAAAAUUUUGCAACAGGCUAAAAAUAAAAGAACUAGUUGACAAAAGAUUGACAUACUUGGAAUGUAAGAGCCCAUUUUUGCCCGGGCCCAAAUAUUAAAAAUUACAGUCCAUUAACAAAAAUAGACCCAAUCCAAAAGCCCAAAACUAAUAACAGCCCAAUAGCCCACAAGACUUAAAAAUUUUCAGCCAAACCCUAAGUUCCCUAGCGCCGCAAGCUUCCAUGCGUGGCCUCCUCAUCUGCCACACCUCCGACGCACGCCUCUGCCACUGCGUCUGACACCUCAGCCGCCUCUACCAUUGCUACCUGCAAGGAAAGGUGAACACGCAACAACCAAGAAGCCAAGCACAAGCAGACAACAGAAACAAACAAAAAUAGUAGAAUAGAGAGUUGUUCAAAUCGGCUAUAAAGGCCUAGAUCAGAUCCUUGUAUUUUUUUACGCACACCAGUUAAUCGAAAAGGUUGAACCAUCUUUUUUUUUUCUCUCUGUUUUCCGUUUCUUUUCAUUUUUUAUUUUAUUUAUUUGUCCAAAUCUUUUAAAAAUUAGUUUAAUAAAUAAUAAAAGGAUAAGAAACGGAAAAAAAAUCGUACCUGGAAUCGCCCCGUAGGCCGCCGCCGGAGAUCUCUUUCUUAUCAUCGGAUUCGGGUCAAAAGGGGCGCACGGGUUCCCUUUUCUUCGGCCUUCAGGUCAGGAAGGCCUGGCCUUCGAGCGUUUCUAAACGUGGCUGAAAAGCGCAUCUCUUUGUGUCGUCGGUAGCUAGUCGACGGCGGCAUAGCCAAUCGCCGAAGGAACCCCAGGCCGGAAGAGGGGACUGCGUGAGAAAGAGGCCAUGGGGACUCUGUGUUUUUUUUAAAAUAAUGUUAAACUACUUUUUGGUGGUCUUUUAGUUUUUAUAUCAGGCAUAAUACGGCGCCGUUUGAAGGGGAGACCUGCGCAUUUUUGCCCUAAUGGGUAAUUCGCGCCUUUGGUCCCUCUAAUUCUGCGGCACCUUCAAUGUAGCCUUUUAUUUUACUAAAUUUCGGCCACAGAAUUUUGCGCCUGUUUCAAUCCAGUCCUGCGCAAGAACAAUGCGCAUAAGGGAUGGGGAAUAUGCACAAUCAGUCCCUCAUGUCCUCAGCGCAUUUCAUUUCGGUCCCUCGCUCCAUUUUUUUUGAAUUUUUUAAUUAUGCUCCUCAAUUUUAUUCUGAUUCCAAUCAUGCCCUUUACCUUUUAGCUCCAUUUUUUUAUAUAUAUUCUUUAAAACUUUUUCUUUUAUUAUUUAGGAUUUUCUUUUAUGCAUUAUUUUAUUUCAAAUUGUUUUAGAUCAAUUAGUAUUUAUCUCAAAUUUUAUAUUUUAUUUAUUUCAAAUAUAUGUGUGUGCACUAUCCAUUUUAAAUUUAUAUGUACCAUGUAAUUUAAAUUGUUUCUCAUGCUAUUUAUUUUGAUAUUCUUUAGAUUGUUCAUUUCCAAACUGCUUUAUUUUUAUUUAUUUCAAGUUUUUAUAAAUUAAGUACUUUAUACAUUAUUUUAUCUCAUGAUGAAAUAUGUUAUAUAUAUUAUAUAUAUGUUAAUUAUUUUGAAAUUGUUUUAUACUUUUUUUACUCUAUUUUUUUUCCUUUAAAUGUUUUAUUUAUUAUCCAUUUUAAGAUUAUUUGUCCUUAUUUCACGAUUUUUGCAUGUACAUAUGCAUUAUUCAUUUUAAAAUUUUUCAUAUAUAAUAUUUUUGAAUUAUUUUGUAUAUAGUUGAUUCUCAAAUUUCCCCUUUUUUACAAUAUUUAUUUAAAACUUGUUUAUUAUUAUUUUAAAAUUGUUCUACAUUUUAUUUAUUUUAAUUUGUUCUAUACCACUCAUUUUGAAAUUGUUAUAUAUGUUAUUUAAUUCAUUCGUCUUUAAUUAUUAAUACUAGUAUUCAAAUAAUGUAUGUUGAGUGUGUAUUGUCACUGUGUGUACCAUAAUUAGUUUACUCGUAUUUUCAUAUUAUUGUCAUACAUUUGUGUAAUUAUUCAUGUAUCAUUAUUCCAUGUUUAUUAUUAUAUUGUUAUUUCACGUCAUUAUAUUGUAAAUUAAACUCCGAUAUAGUUAUCCAACUUAGGUUACUUUAUUUUAUUCCAAACAAAAUAAAUGCUUACCUUCAAAUAGAUUACCCGCUAGUAUUCGAAAUGGAAUUUUGCUAAAUAAGGCAAUAUUUUACAUUUUGGAAAUUCGAGAAAUUGUACCCUAACUUAUUGGGUCUCGAUUUUCUCAUUAAACCUAAAUAGCAAAAUAUCCUUUUAAAUUUCCAAACACAUAAAAUUCUAAAAAUAAAGGUAAUAUUCUAUAUUUAGAAAAUUCGAGAAAUCGUGCCCUAACUUACUGGGCUUUGAUUUUUCUCGUUGAUUUUAAGUAACCGAAUAUCCUUUUAAAAUUAAAUAAAUGAGGUUUAAAUAAAAAGUGAAAUGCAAACUCACUCUCAAAAUAUGAGAUGUCGGGUCCUAACUUACUGGGUGUGACAUCUUGUUACUUCGAGAUAAUGAGGCAUUUUCCAUUUUUGAUUUAAUUAAAGCAUUUCAAAAUCAACAUUAAUAAAAGAGGAUCGUAUUUUAAAUCUUUUCAAACUUUCAGCUUUCGACAUAAAGACAUUAAAUAAUCAACUAAGGUACCAAUUUUGGGCGUAUCGAGGGUGCUAACUCUUCCUCAUGCGUAAUUGACUCCCGAACCCAUUUUCUAAAUUUCGUAGACCCAAAUCGUUGUUUUGAUAAAAUCAAAUCGUUUAUUAAAAACAACCACUUUUUAAGGUGAUCCGGUCACACCUCAUCAAAAAGGAUUGGUGGCGACUCCUGUUUUUGUUUUCAUUUUUAAAAUCCAAGUCGACCCCGUUUUAAUCAAAAAAAUGGCGUCAAUAGCUUGGCGACUCCACUGGGGACUAAAAAGAAAGUCAAGCCACGAGUUGAUUAAUUUUUGUCUUUUUGUUGAAAAUUGAAAAUUUGGUUUAAAUGUACGAUCCUUUCGUUGCAUUUUGUCCAUCGUUUUUGUGGUCUUUAAUGUGUUUACCUUUUUUGUUCAGGCCUUUUGAUAUUUCUGCAAAUUGCAUUGCAUGAUCGUGGGUCGCACCUUUUAAGUGGGAGUGAGAAAUUAGUCAUUCGUGAGGUUUUCACCUCUGUGCAGGAUAAUGGAUCGCUUUUGGGAUACAUCCGUACCUAUGUCUUCGUGAGAUUUUUAUCUUCAUGCAACCAUAGGGAAAUGUAUUCUCCUGAACUAAACUCGGUCCGUAUGAGCCUAUAAUGGGUAAGAAUUGAGGAAUCUGCUGGUUCGGGUACCUCGACUUUAGAACCAAACCGCAUAUAAUGAGCCAUAGGAGCCUACCCUAGGUAGAACCACCUCGAUCCCUAGUAGUUUCCUGAAUAGUAGCUUUAAUUAUUAUUUCUUGUAUACUUUGAAUUUUAGUUUAUUUUUAUACUGACUUGCUUUGCUUUUACCUUGAUUGUGAUUGCAUGGCAUUCUCAUCAUAAAAGAGGUGUUGAUCCGCGUUCAGUAUUUAAAUAAAGAGCUCAACAUGGAAAGGGAGUUUCUUGGUAAAGUCGAAGAUAGUGCGGUAGUCUGAGUUUGGUCUGAAAAAGUUCAGCAAGAAAAGGGUGAUAGCCUCAUGGAAGGAUACGUGUCAGAGCUAUGGGAUUUCACUCGAAUCAGUGUAACUCAAAACAACCUACAAGAAUUGAAGGAAAUUUUGGAUUAGUGGGGUGAUGAGAUCAGACAGCUCUUCUACAGUAACUAUGGUGAUUUGCCUUAUCUACUCGAUGUAAAGGUAGACAAACACUUGUUCCGAGCCCUUGUGCAGUAUUGGAAUCCCGCCUACAGUUGUUUCACAUUUGGGAAAGUAGAUUUGGUACCCACGAUAGAAGAAUAUACGACCUUGCUUCGAUGUCCGAGGAUCUAAGUUGAUAGGGCCUAUUCGAGAGCAGCAUAUGUCCCGACAUUCUUGAAGAAAUUAAUGAGUAUUACAGGAAUGAGCGAGCAAUGGGUUGCGGCCCGAAUUAAGCAAAAGAGAGACAGCAAGUGCAUGGCUUGGAAAAAUCUGCGAGAUCUGAUCUUGGCACAUCUAGAUGUGAGAAAAAGGGUCGAUAUUUUCGCUUUGAGCAUUUAUGGUUUGGUCAUUUUCCCCAAGGCGUUAGGGCAUAUGGACGAAGCAGUUUCAGAUUUGUUUGACAGGCUUGAAAAGAGGGUCACACCAGUCCCAGCAAUUUUGGCUGAAACCUUCAGAUCUCUAAAUGCGUGUCGAAGAGCAGGUGAAAGAAGGUUCGUCGGAUGCGCGCAACUGUUAUUGGUAUGGUAUCAUAGUCACUUUUGGAAAGUAGAGAAGAUCACUUAUCGGGUUUUCUCAGAAAACUACUCCCCAUUAAAGGAACUAGUGGCUAUACCAAGACAAGACGAUAUCACGGAAGAGAAAUGGAUCAUGAUUCUCCAAAAUCUUCAAGAGGAGGAUGUCGAGUGGAGAGCCCCGUGGAUGAUCCCUAAUGAGAUUUUGUAUCGAUGUGGAGAGUUCGAUUUAGUUCCUUUGCUAGAAAUUUGGAGAGCCAUUGGAUACGCCCCUCUGCUAGUCUUGAGGUAGUACAGAUCUAGACAGUUCAUACCGGUGGCACAAGAGUUGGCCAGUGUGAAUUUUCAUUCAAAGAAGAUAAUUACAAGAAGAAGGUUCGUGAAAUAUCAAAUGCUUGGAACCAAAUCCAUAGAAUGAAGGUACUUGCUGUAAACCCAAUGACAACUCCCGAAUAUAGUUUGUGGUGGGGAAGAAGGAUCAAUGAUAACAUCCCCGUAUCAAGCCAAGAAGAUGUUCGACCGAUAGAAGAGCAUCUACAAGUGGUUCCGUUAGAACUAGAGAUCAUUAAACAAGACUUUAAAAGGAGAAGUUCCGAGCUGGCUAAGAAAAUUGAGCAACUAGAAGAGGAAAAGAUACGUUUGGGAUUAGAUGUCGAUAUUCACAAGUUGGAAGCUGAAAAAUUAAGGAAAGGGAAGAACAAGGCUGAAGAAGAUUUAGAUAGUCUAAAAAUGGAUUAUAAGAAGUUACGUUUGUCGAUGAGAAUAGUGGGUUUGGGAAAAACAUCGGAGCAAUGGCGGCAGGAGAUCAAAGAAGAAAGGACCAAGGCUGAUCAGUGGGAGAAGAAAUUUCAUGACACCCGAGCUUGAGAGAGCGCUUUGGAGAAAAGCUUGUUAGAAUGUCAGAAUGAAAAAGCAAGGUUAAAAGCCCGGGUAACAGAAUUAGAAAAGUCGUUUCACCUACACCGUAAUCGCAACUCUCUGAUCGAAUUGAGAGCAAGUUUAAGUAAGAUCGAAGAACUAAAGGGAAGGAUAGGAGAGCUCGAAGACGCAUUACAAGAUUCUAAACUGUGAGUGGAGCUUCUGGAGAGGAGUAAUGAGCAAUGGUAAGAUCAAUUCCAUCAUUCUCAAAGUCAGAUUAGAUAUAGAGAUUACAUUAUGGGCGAAGCCGUGACUUAAGUACGAGAAGUAGCGGAUCAUCUACAAACCCUAGCCGUUCAGGCUGAUGUAUUGAGUUUAAAUUAUGAAUCAGAAUUAAGCCAAGGUCGAGAGUUAGCUUGGCUCCUGAGGAGUGUUAAGGCUUUGAGUAUAAAGGCGAAGCCGUAUAUGUAGUCCAUUUUAUGUAAAGAAAUUUGUUUUCUAAAUCGAGUUCUUCUAAUAAAAUUGAAUUAGAAUCAAUGCCCCUUUUGCAUUCAUGCAUCUACAUUACAUUACAUUACAUUACAUUACAUGCAUUAAGUUUCAUAAAAGGACCCUAAUAAAUUAAAAUUAUGACAGUUACCCUGGAAACCAGCAAAAAUCCACCAAUUAAAUAUCACUACGGUACUCAUCACCAAACGAAAGCAAUGGAUCAGUGGUUAGAAAGAUUGGAACAAUUACAAAAGGAGAUGCAAGAUCAGAUGCAGGAACGACUGGAUAAAAUCCAAUAAGACAUGCAAGAAUCCCAGAACACUAUGAUGAACCAAUUAAAACAGUUAUUGGCUGGAGGGAACGAUAAAGGAAAAAGCCUUGUAGUUGAUGCUGGGGAGGAUCACGAUGACCCUGCUUAUCCUCCAGGUUUCACCCCAACUAACAUCCAAGCACAACUAGAGGCGUACCCGUAGAGGGUACCUGUUACCAUUAGACCUCAAUAUCUGGCUGGUGCCUUGGUACCAGUGCAUUUUCAAACAGGCUCGGGUUCUAAUAUCAGGAAUAACCUCACCAAUCCUGUGGUCCCGGAUCUUGAUGACGUGGCAGAAAUAGAAAAGGCAAGAAUGGACCUGCCAAAACAACUAGAGGACUUAUGUAGAUGGCUAGAGGAAAAAUUUAGAGCCAUGGAGAACAUCGACUAUCAUUGUGAAGUUGACGCCAAGGAUCUGAGCUUGGUCCCUGAUUUAGUACUCCCACCUAAGUUCAAGAUGCCGGAGUUCGAAAAAUAUAACGGGACUAGUUGUCCUGAAGCUCAUAUAACUAUGUUCUGUCGAAGAAUGAUAGGAUACGUCAACAAUGAUCAGUUGUUAAUCCACUGCUUCCAGGACAGUUUGAUCGGGUCUGCAGCCAAGUGGUACAACCAGCUGAGUCGUGCUAAAGUUAGUUCAUAGAGAGACUUGGCGCAAGCUUUUAUGAAACAAUACAGUCAUGUUACGAACAUAACACCCGAUCGAAUUACAUUACAGAAUAUGGAAAAAAAGCCUAGUGAGAGUUUCAAGCAGUACACCCAGAGAUGGAGAGAGGUGGCAACACAAGUCCAGCCACCCCUGUUGGAAAAAGAGGUCACCAUACUUUUUAUUAAUACUUUGAAAGCCCCAUUCAUCAACCACAUGUUGGGGAGUGCUACCAAGAGCUUCUUGGAUAUGGUAAUGUCUGAUGAAAUUAUUAAAAAUGCAAUAAGAAGCGGUAAAAUAGACGCGGGGGAAAGCUCCAAAAGACCAGCCCCGAGGAAAAAAGAAAGCGAGGUAAACAACGUAAGCACGUGUAGCAAGAGUUAUUCGAAACCAAUUACUGUUGGCCCUCCAAGAACGAUAGCCACUAGUCACCAAGGCCCCUCAAGGCAGGAGCCCAACACAAGGCCUAACACAAAGAGACUUCAAUUCAAGCCCAUUCCAAUAACAUACAAGGAACUGUAUCAGAAGCUAUUUGAUACACACAUAGUAUCUCCAUUUUAUAUAAAACCCAUGCAACCUCCAUACCCCAAAUGGUAUGACAUAAAUGCCCAAUGUGAAUACCAUGCAGGGAUACUAGGACACUCAAUUGAAAACUGUACUAGGUUUAAAAAGGCGGUGGAAAGAUUCAUUAAGAUGGGAAUUGUAAAGUUUGACAACCUAUCAGGACCAGACGUGGCAGGGAAUUCGUUACCCAAUCAUUCUGAUAAAGGGGGAAACGCGAUAAUCGAGGGCGGGAGAAAGAGAAUCAAGGUCGACAUUGCAGAGAUAAAAACCCCACUGAGUUGGGUUUGGAGACAAAUGAUAGAGGGAGGUCUCAUCAAACAAGAUUCAAAGGAAAGGCUCGAAGGAACGAGGACGUACUGCGAGUUUCAUGCCGAAUAGGGCCAUGACAUCCAAAAAUGCGCCGAGUUCAAAAUCAUGGUACAAAAUCUGAUGAACAACAAAGAGGAGGAAUUUUAUGAAGAGAUCAAAGGACUAGAAGAAUGAGAAGUCUAUGCCUCGGAGGAAGGACCUACGGGAAAGGCCCAAAAUCACCCAGUGGUGAUUAUUUCGAGGCCAAUGAGCACAGGAUCUGGAAUACAAAUGGCGCCAAGGGUCAUAAUCCAAAAACCGGUAUCCUUUCCUUACAAGGAUAGUAAAAAGGUUCCUUAGAAUUAUGACUGUAACGUGACAAUCUCGGGUGAGGAGAACCCGGUAAACGCUUCAGAAGAGGGUAGUGAUGUAGGCUUCUAUGCUCGUAGUGGAAAACGCUACGAUCCAGCAAAUGCAAGAGUGGGGACCAUAAAUGGAAAAGCCUUAGCAAUUGAAGCAAAGACGGCUAGAAUUGAAGUCGUAUCUUUCUAAAGAUGCCGUGAAGUGGAUCAAAGCGAUAAGACACAGUGGACUGGAAGGAGGCUUUGAAGAAGAGAAGCACCCAAAGAAGUCAAGACUAGGCAGGGCCAAGCAAAAUUGGCUCUUUUAAGGUCUUUGCUCUAUUCUCGUUACACAACAAUGAGUAAAGAGGGGCAGCUGUAAGAGCCCAUUUUUUCCCGGGCCCAAAUAUUAAAAAUUACAGUCCAUUAACAAAAAUAGACCCAAUCCAAAAGCCCAAAACUAAUAACAGCCCAAUAGCCCACAAGACUUAAAAUUUUUUACCCAAACCCUAAGUCCCCUAGCACCGUAAGCUUCCAUGCGUGGCCUCCUCGUCUGCCACACUUCUAACGCACGCCUCUACCACUACGUCUGACACCUCGGCCGCCUCUACCACUGCUACCUGCAAGGAAAGGUGAACAUGCAACAACCAAGAAGCCAAGCACAAGCAAACAAUAGAAACAAACAAAAAUAGUAGAAUAGAGAGUUGUUCAAAUCGGCUAUAAAGGCCUAGAUCAGAUCCUUGUAUUUUUUACGCGCACCAGUUAACCGAAACAGAACAUUGAUUCGAAAAGGUUGAACCAUCUUUUUUUUCUCUUUCUGUUUUCCGUUUCUUUUCAUUUUUAUUGUAUUUAUUUAUUUAUCCAAAUUUUUUAAAAAUCAGUUUAAUAAAUAAUAAAAGGAUAAGAAAAGGAAAGAAAUCGUACCUGGAAUUUCCCCGCAGGCCACCGCCGGAGAUCUCUUUCUUAUCAUCGGAUUCGGGUCAAAAGGGGCGCACGGGUUCCCUUUUCUUCGGCCUUCAGGUCAGGAAGGCCUGGCCUUCGAGCGUUUCUAAAC
rnacentral:lncRNA from 1 species